UCCAGUGUACAUAUAUGAAAUUAAAAGUGUACUGUAAAUACUCAAAAAGGGAACUUAAAAUUAAACACAAUAGAGAAUCACAAAGAAUAAGUUAAACAGAUAUAAAAAAUCAAACAAAUGCAUUUCAUGCACAUAAAACAAUUAAAUUAUAUUCGGUGCCCAUAGUCGGUAUGUAGCCAUUUACCCUCCCAUACUAAUGAUGUCGGUGGUCGCUAUCCAUACACAACAAAACUGAGCCAGGAUUCCAACCGAAAUAUUCUUCGAAUUGAAUAACUAUGCAGCAACCCACUUUCAGCAAAAAUCCAAAAUUCAUUCAGAUAUGAGCACUUAUCUUCAAUAUCAAAUUCGGAAGUGUCGUCCAACUGACCAGCCGAGCAAUCAUGAAUAUAAUAUACCUACCUACUAUGUCCAAAUAUGGAUGAACUGGUAACGGCCAUAUUUGGAGAUUAUCCGGCGUGAAGAGAAUUCAAAUGAAGUGGUUGCCGUCCAUCCAGAAUUGCUGAUGACUGACACAGUGCUGAUCACCAUAUAGAAUUUGGUACCAUUUUACGAAGGAUGUUCCAAGUUUUC